GGGGGGAAGGGGGGGUCCCUCAGCCUGGCCUGUGCCCUCUCGCAAUCCAGGACCCCUCAGGGGAUGUUGGACUGCCAAUUUUGGCCUGGUCCCCGCAGGCCAGGCUGAGGGACCCCACUGGUGCAUG
rnacentral:pre_miRNA from 1 species